UACGGAGGGGGCUAGCGUUGUUCGGAAUUACUGGGCGUAAAGCGCGCGUAGGCGGAUCUGCAAGUCGGGGGUGAAAUCCCGAGGCUCAACCUCGGAACUGCCUUCGAUACCGCGGGUCUCGAGUCCGGGAGAGGUGAGUGGAAUUCCUAGUGUAGAGGUGAAAUUCGUAGAUAUUAGGAAGAACACCAGUGGCGAAGGCGGCUCACUGGCCCGGUACUGACGCUGAGGCGCGAAAGCGUGGGGAGCAAACAGG
rnacentral:rRNA from 1 species